UGGAGACCCAAGAUGGAGUGGUGUUUUGCCCGUUUUGUGGCAAACAUAUGAGCCGAUUAACGUGAUUUAGUUUUUCGUGUGGUCAGUCUGUAGAGUUUUUAAAUGGCGCAGACCAGACGGAAGGACCAAGCGCACAGGGGGCAUCUCAACAGCCGGAUAAUGCUAAACAAACAGAAUAACCUUGCCCAUCAUAUAAACAGUUCCUGGAGUACAGAGGCUCAAAGUCCAAAGAGCGUCAGUCUUUUAACUAUGGGCCGAGAGGAAAACAUCGGGCUAAAGAACGAAAACACGUCCAGUGGAUGAUACCUCAGACUCUGAUUCUGAAAUUGUCAUCGCAUCAAGGAGCACAGCUGAAUUAAAUCGAGCUGACACAGUGGUACAUCAAUUAUUUAUGUAUUGAUGUAUUUAUUGAUUUAUCUUUGACAAUACUGACAACCUUUCACCAUUGAUAUAUAUAAUGUAUGUGGUAAGGGAACAGUUAUGAAAGCUAUUACAAAUUGUUGAUAAAUGAAUGCGUUUCCUGUCAGGUUUUUUAACCAAAAAAUCAAAGUACUCCCAAACACAAACCUGAAGAUGAAAGGUAGGUACAUUUUGGCAUCUAGCCUUUGUCACGGAGUCAAACAUUUUUAAUGAGGUCCUUUUCUAGUGGUAAUCAACCAAUAGGAAUCUUGCCUGUAUUCGUUUACAUUCUUAGAUGACUAUUGUAGGCCUGAAGAACAGUAAUAAUUAAUGUAGUAAUUGUAUUAUUUUUAUCAUGUUUUAGAGAUGUAUCGGGACAUUCAGCAACAAUUCGGCCUGGUCAGAUAGUAAUAUCUGAUGCUGAGGAUAUGGAUCCAUCUGAAACAAAGAGACUUGCUAAAGUAAAUACACGGACCUGUAUGCACCAGGUGUUGAGGAAGAGGAUGAGGAGCUGGUUGCAGUCAAUGUGGAGAAUUUCCAACACACAGCAGUGGAGGAGAUGGACAUUACACUACCUGACAUUGUAGCAAACCUGUCGCUUCCUAUUGAUCACAAAAGAGUCAGCAGUUUCAACAUCUCAAGGGCUGAUGUUUGGGAUGGAGCUGUCAGAGGUUUCAAGUGUAAAACAUAUUCUGAAACCUGUGACAUGCUGGUCUGAUUUACUGAUGAUGCUGGUGUUUUUGAGGAGGGAAUUGACACAGGUAGUCCAAGACGAGACUUUUUAACUUUGCUAAUGAAACACCUGAAAGACCGGCCCAUUUUUGAUGGACCAGAAGGACAUCGGUUCUUGGUCUACAAUGCAAAUGGUAUGCAUAGGGUUAGAUGUGUGCUAUACUAAUGGUUGGUUAAUGAUCAUUAA
ensembl:lncRNA